rnacentral:rRNA from 1 species
GACGAACGCUGGCGGCGUGCUUAACACAUGCAAGUCGAACGGAAAGGCCCUGCUUUUGUGGGGUGCUCGAGUGGCGAACGGGUGAGUAACACGUGAGUAACCUGCCCUUGACUUGGGAUAACUUCAGGAAACUGGGGCUAAUACCGGAUAGGAGCUCCUGCUGCAUGGUGGGGGUUGGAAAGUUUCGGCGGUUGGGGAUGGACUCGCGGCUUAUCAGCUUGUUGGUGGGGUAGUGGCUUACCAAGGCUUUGUCGGGUAGCCGGCCUGAGAGGGUGACCGGCCACAUUGGGACUGAGAUACGGCCCAGACUCCUACGGGAGGCAGCAGUGGGGAAUAUUGCACAAUGGGCGGAAGCCUGAUGCAGCAACGCCGCAUGCGGGAUGACGGCCUUCGGGUUGUAAACCGCUUUCGCCUGUGACGAAGCGUGAGUGACGGUAAUGGGUAAAGAAGCACCGGCUAACUACGUG